rnacentral:tRNA from 2 species
GCGCUAGUAGCUCAGUCAGGAUAGAGCGCAUCCCUGCGGAGGAUGAGGCCGUGGGUUCGAGUCCCGCCUAGCGCGCCA